AGUCGAACGGCAGCACGAGAGAGCUUGCUCUCUUGGUGGCGAGUGGCGGACGGGUGAGGAAUACAUCGGAAUCUACCUUUUGGUGGGGGAUAACGUAGGGAAACUUACGCUAAUACCGCAUACGCCCUUCGGGGGAAAGCCGGGGACCUUCGGGCCUGGCGCUGAUAGAUGAGCCGAUGUCGGAUUAGCUAGUUGGUGAGGUAAUGGCUCACCAAGGCGACGAUCCGUAGCUGGUCUGAGAGGAUGAUCAGCCACACUGGAACUGAGACACGGUCCAGACUCCUACGGGAGGCAGCAGUGGGGAAUAUUGGACAAUGGGCGCAAGCCUGAUCCAGCCAUACCGCGUGGGUGAAGAAGGCCUUCGGGUUGUAAAGCCCUUUUGUUGGGAAAGAAAAGCAAUCGGUUAAUACCCGGUUGUUCUGACGGUACCCAAAGAAUAAGCACCGGCUAACUUCGUGCCAGCAGCCGCGGUAAUACGAAGGGUGCAAGCGUUACUCGGAAUUACUGGGCGUAAAGCGUGCGUAGGUGGUGGUUUAAGUCCGUUGUGAAAGCCCUGGGCUCAACCUGGGAAUUGCAGUGGAUACUGGGUCACUAGAGUGUGGUAGAGGAUAGUGGAAUUUCCGGUGUAGCAGUGAAAUGCGUAGAGAUCGGAAGGAACAUCUGUGGCGAAGGCGACUAUCUGGGCCAACACUACACU
rnacentral:rRNA from 1 species